rnacentral:rRNA from 1 species
CCUACGGGGGGCAGCAGUGGGGAAUAUUGCGCAAUGGGCGAAAGCCUGACGCAGCGACGCCGCGUGAGGGAUGAAGGUCUUCGGAUCGUAAACCUCUGUCAGCAGGGAAGAACGGUCACUGUGCUAAUCAGCAGUGAAUUGACGGUACCUGCAAAGGAAGCACCGGCUAACUCCGUGCCAGCAGCCGCGGUAAUACGGAGGGUGCGAGCGUUAAUCGGAAUUACGGGGCGUAAAGCGGUCGUAGGCGGUAUGUCAAGGCAAGGGUGAACUCCCCGGGCUCAACGUGGGAACUGCCUUUGAAACUGGCUGGCUGGAGUGUGUGAGAGGAUAGUGGAAUUCCAGGUGUAGGAGUGAAAUGCGUAGAUAUCUGGAGGAACAUCAGUGGCGAAGGCGACUAUCUGGAACAUAACUGACGCUGAGGAGCGAAAGCGUGGGUAGCAAACAGGAUUAGAUACCCGAAUAGUC